rnacentral:rRNA from 1 species
UACGUAGGGACCGAGCGUUGUCCGGAUUCAUUGGGCGUAAAGAGCGCGUAGGCGGCUGCUCAAGUCGAAUGUGAAAACUCGAGGCUCAACCUCGAGCCUGCAUUCGAUACUGGGCGGCUAGAGUCUGGUAGGGGGAUCUGGAAUUCCUGGUGUAGCGGUGGAAUGCGCAGAUAUCAGGAGGAACACCGGUGGCGAAGGCGGGAUCCUGGGCCAGUACUGACGCUGAGGAGCGCAAGCGUGGGGAGCGAACAGG